rnacentral:rRNA from 1 species
UACGGAGGGUGCAAGCGUUAAUCGGAAUUACUGGGCGUAAAGCGUGCGCAGGCGGUUUGUUAAGUCCGUUGUGAAAGCCCCGAGCUCAACUUGGGAAUUGCAGUGGAUACUGGCAGGCUGGAGUACGGUAGAGGAAGGUGGAAUUCCCGGUGUAGCAGUGAAAUGCGUAGAUAUUGGGAAGAACACCGGUGGCGAAGGCAGCGACCUGGUCCGACACUGACGCUGAGGCGCGAAAGCGUGGGGAGCAAACAGG